UGGGGAAUAUUGGACAAUGGGCGCAAGCCUGAUCCAGCAAUGCCGCGUGUGUGAAGAAGGCCUUAGGGUUGUAAAGCACUUUCAGUUGGGAGGAAGGGUUUAUGGCUAAUACCCAUGAACAUUGACGUUACCGACAGAAGAAGCACCGGCUAACUCUGUGCCAGCAGCCGCGGUAAUACAGAGGGUGCAAGCGUUAAUCGGAAUUACUGGGCGUAAAGGGUGCGUAGGCGGUUAUAUAAGUUAGAUGUGAAAUCCCUAGGCUUAACCUGGGAACUGCGUUUAAUACUGUAUAGCUAGAGUACUGAAGAGGUUAGUGGAAUUUCCAGUGUAGCGGUGAAAUGCGUAGAUAUUGGAAGGAACACCAGUGGCGAAGGCGACUAACUGGUCAGAUACUGACGCUGAGGCACGAAAGCGUGGGGAGCAAACAG
rnacentral:rRNA from 1 species